GAUGAACGCUGGCUGCGUGCCUAAUACAUGCAAGUCGAGCGAACAGACGAGGAGUUUGCUCCUCUGACGUUAGCGGCGGACGGGUUAGUAACACGUGGAUAACCUACCUAUAAGACUGGGAUAACUUCGGGAAACCGGAUCUAAUACCCGUUAAUAUAUUGCACCGCAUGUUUCAAUAGUUAAAGACGGCUUUGCUGUCACUUUUAGAUGGAUCCGCGCCGCAUUAGCUAGUUGGUAAGGUAACGGCUUACCAAGGCAACGAUGCGUAGCCGACCUGAGAGGGUGAUCGGCCACACUGGAACUGAGACACGGUCCAGACUCCUACGGGAGGCAGCAGUAGGGAAUCUUCCGCAAUGGGCGAAAGCCUGACGGAGCAACGCCGCGUGAGUGAUGAAGGUCUUCGGAUCGUAAAACUCUGUUAUGAGGGAAGAACAAAUGUGUAAGUAACUAUGCACGUCUUGACGGUACCUAAUCAGAAAGCCACGGCUAACUACGUG
rnacentral:rRNA from 1 species